rnacentral:rRNA from 1 species
UACAGAGGUCCCAAGCGUUACUGAGAAUCACUGGGUUUAAAGGGUGCGUAGGUGGUCCGUUAAGUCCGUUGUGAAAUCCCUGGGCUCAACCCAGGAACUGCUUCGGAUACUGGCGGACUUGAGGCCAGUAGAGGUCACUGGAACUGACGGUGGAGCGGUGAAAUGCGUAGAUAUCGUCAGGAACGCCGGUGGUGAAGACGGGUGACUGGGCUGGUUCUGACACUGAGGCACGAAAGCGUGGGGAGCGAACAGG